CAGCAGCCGCCGCGGUAAAACGGAGGGUGCAAGCGUUAAUCGGAAUUACUGGGCGUAAAGCGCACGCAGGCGGUCUGACAAGUCAGAUGUGAAAUCCCCGGGCUUAACCUGGGAACUGCAUUUGAAACUGUCAGGCUGGAGUCUUGUAGAGGGGGGUAGAAUUCCAGGUGUAGCGGUGAAAUGCGUAGAGAUCUGGAGGAAUACCGGUGGCGAAGGCGGCCCCCUGGACAAAGACUGACGCUCAGGUGCGAAAGCGUGGGGAGCAAACAGGAUUAGAUACCCCUGUAGUCCCUGUCUCUUAUAC
rnacentral:rRNA from 1 species